rnacentral:misc_RNA from 1 species
GGAUCAGUAGCAGGAUUAAGCAGAGGGUCAUCGCACCCACUUGUUGCAGGAUAUGCAGAAUGCCAAAACCCAUCAAUCAUUGACCUUACUUUUGAUUCCCUAACCUCAUUGCCAAUAGGUUCUUUACCCCAGAAGUAUGGAUGUAUUAGAACAAUCCCUGCAAGAUUAAUACCAGAUAAUUUCUCUUCCCCAUAUUUCAUGGCCAUACGGUGUGCUAUA